AUCUAACUGACGAGUCCCAAAUAUGACGAAACGAGCAUUCAUGCAU
rnacentral:hammerhead_ribozyme from 1 species